rnacentral:rRNA from 1 species
GAAGGAUCAUUAUCGUACAAAAUGUGAAAGGCAUGCAAGGGCUGUCGCUGACUCAAAGUCGUGCACGCCGGAGUGUGUCCUCUCACAUAAAAAUCCAUCUCACCCUUUGUGCACCACCGCGCGGGCAGCCUUCGGGAUCAGAGUGAUCUCAGAGGAUGCUCACGUUUUCACACAAACCCCCUUUUAAAAGUGUAGAGUGACCUCAUUUAUGCGCUAACCCGCAAUCAAUACAACUUUCAACAACGGAUCUCUUGGCUCUCGCAUCGAUGAAGAACGCAGCGAAAUGCGAUACGUAAUGUGAAUUGCAGAAUUCAGUGAAUCAUCGAAUCUUUGAACGCACCUUGCGCCCCUUGGUAUUCCGAGGGGCACACCCGUUUGAGUGUCGUGAAAAUCUCAACCUCCUUGGUUUCUUCUGGAGACCAAAGGAGGCUUGGACUUUGGAGGCAUUUGCUGGCAUCUUCUCUCUUUUGAAGGUCAGCUCCUCUUAAAUGAAUUAGCGGGGUCCUCUUUGCCGAUCCUUGACAUGUGAUAAGAUGUUUCCAUGCCUUGGUUUCUGGCUCUGUUGCUUCUGGGACCCGCUUCUAACCGUCUUGACCUUGCAUCGAGACAAUGUUCGAGCUCGUCUCCCUUCUCGGGAGACACUCUCGACCCCACGAACC